rnacentral:ncRNA from 1 species
UUAAAGACGAUGACGAAGAGGACUUAAAGCGGUAGCUUUUCAGAGAGUCGGCGGCCGGUGAAAGCCGAUAAGUGAGUUUUGAGUUUGUAGCUUCUGAGUCGGAGGGAAGAAAGAUUUUCAAGUAGAACCCUCUCGUAAGGCUGCGUAAAAGCAUAGGACUUGUUGGAGUCUGAAGUGGCGUUCAUUGAACGCAAUUUGAGUGGUACCGCGGGUAGUAAAUCAGUAAUUACAACUCGUCUCAAGG